ACUCCUGCGGGAGGCAGCAGUGGGGAAUUUUGGACAAUGGGCGAAAGCCUGAUCCAGCAAUGCCGCGUGAGUGAAGAAGGCCUUCGGGUUGUAAAGCUCUUUUGUCAGGGAAGAAACGGUGAAAGCUAAUAUCUUUUGCUAAUGACGGUACCUGAAGAAUAAGCACCGGCUAACUACGUGCCAGCAGCCGCGGUAAUACUUAGGGUGCAAGCGUUAAUCGGAAUUACUGGGCGUAAAGCGUGCGCAGGCGGUUUUGUAAGUCUGAUGUGAAAUCCCCGGGCUCAACCUGGGAAUUGCAUUGGAGACUGCAAGGCUAGAAUCUGGCAGAGGGGGGUAGAAUUCCACGUGUAGCAGUGAAAUGCGUAGAUAUGUGGAGGAACACCGAUGGCGAAGGCAGCCCCCUGGGUCAAGAUUGACGCUCAUGCACGAAAGCGUGGGGAGCAAACAGGAUUAGAAACCCUAGUAGUCCCAUGAU
rnacentral:rRNA from 1 species